UAUGAAAAAAUUGCUGGUCAAACUAGAAGCUCUUUUAUAAAUUGGGCUGAAAUUAAAUGUCUGGAGCUGACGUACUUAUCAAAAGGUAUGAUAUCCACUUUGUUCCAGAUUGUAAAUCUGCAUAUGUCAACAUCUUUUCAACAAAAGCAGGUACCAACCUAAGAAAAAGGUUCUCUGCCACAUCUGGAUAGAGACAUUUGAAAUCCAUUUCAACCUAACAAGAAAGAUUAAGACAAGUGAGUGAAGUGAAAAAGUCUUUCAAAGAUUGCAGAAAAUCAGGCUCUCUAGUACACGGUGGUAGUAUGGGCUAUUUUUUUUUCUACAAAGCGAAGAAAAGAAAUCGACCCGGAAAGAGUUCGACAAUGGCCCGUUUGAUUGGCUAGAUUGUGAUUGUGCUAUGACAUACAAGGUUAACUAAAAUUCUUCAACUACAGAAAUCGAUUCCUUAAAACAAAACUUGUCAAAUAGCUAAUUUCGUUUAAUUAUGAAAUAUGCAUUGGAAAAUAUAUUGCUAGGGAAAAUACCUGAAG